rnacentral:rRNA from 1 species
UACGGGGGGGGCUAGCGUUGUUCGGAAUUACUGGGCGUAAAGGGCGCGUAGGCGGUCUGCUAAGUCGGAUGUGAAAUCCCCAGGCUUAACCUGGGAACUGCAUCCGAUACUGGAUGGCUUGAAUCCGGGAGAGGGAUGCAGAAUUCCAGGUGUAGCGGUGAAAUGCGUAGAUAUCUGGAGGAAUACCGGUGGCGAAGGCGGCAUCCUGGACCGGCAUUGACGCUGAGUGAGCGAAAGCCAGGGGAGCAAACGGG